AAAAAGGCAAACCCUGGGUUUUCGUGUCCAACUUUGACUGUCCGUCUUAUAUGAAAUUUUUUUAUAAUUCGUAUUUUCAUUGUUGUUAGAUGAUAAAACAUGAUUAAUAUUUUAUGUGUGACUUGUAUUUUUAAUUUUUUUCAUAAUUUUUUCAAAUAAGACGAACGGUCAAACGUUGGACACGGAAACCAGGGUUUGUCUUUUU
rfam:Oryza glaberrima chromosome 6 Oglab06_0122_5, whole genome shotgun sequence.